rnacentral:rRNA from 1 species
GACGAACGCUGGCGGCGUGCUUAACACAUGCAAGUCGAACGGUAAGGCCCUUCGGGGUACACGAGUGGCGAACGGGUGAGUAACACGUGGGUGAUCUGCCCUGCACUUCGGGAUAAGCCUGGGAAACUGGGUCUAAUACCGGAUAGGACCACUGCCUGCAUGGGUGGUGGUGGAAAGCUUUUGCGGUGUGGGAUGGGCCCGCGGCCUAUCAGCUUGUUGGUGGGGUGAUGGCAUACCAAGGCGACGACGGGUAGCCGGCCUGAGAGGGUGACCGGCCACACUGGGACUGGGAUACUGCCCAGGCGCCUACGGGAGGCAGCGGUGGAGAAGAGUGCCCAAUGGGCGCAAGCCUGAUGCAGCGACGCCGCGUGGGGGAUGACGGCCUUCGGGUUGUAAACCUCUUACAGCACCGACGAAGCGCAAGUGACGGUAGGUGCAGAAGAAGGACCGGCCAACUACGUGCCAGCCGCCGCAGUAA